CAGGCAGGAGACACAAAGGACCUCAGGAAUUUAAACUUCUUUGGUGUUGUGCUCAACACAGCCGAGCAAGAAAUCACGCUGGCCCCGAAGUUCUCCGAGCUAGGCUGUGCUAUUUAAAACGAAUUUCAUCCUAAUGGAGCCGAAAAUAAAACAACGUGUGGAAGGAGAUUUCAGAGUAUCCUCGGUUGGAUCAGGGAUUCGGGAGAAGGAGGAAAAAGCUGCAAAUCCAACCAAAGAGCACCCUCUCCUGGACACGCACCGAGCCGAGCAUCCCAUCCCUGCUGCUCCUCGGGGACAGGGAAAUAUCUCCUGGACAACACGGAAAAUACCCAUCCCUUUUUGUUCUUCCCUCUGAUUUCUACUAAACCAUGAAGAAAUGACCAGAAGCAGGGGCUCAGCUCGCUGUGAAGGGAGAUGUGAGUUAUGCAAGGGUCAUUUCCAGGUUUUGUGGUUACUGGGAGAGCUUUCAGUGGAGCUGAACCUGGGAACAGCAUCACUCAAAGGCUCGUUAGUUUGAUGAAGUGGCAAAAGUGACUCCAGCUCCCGUGGGCACUCCCAGCCUCGAAACAUUUACACAUCCCAAGGGAAUUCUGAAAAACACCACCAAGUCUUUAGGUCACAUUUCCAAGCUCACUUGUGAUGAUCUUGCACCAGGGCCUUCAAGAGAGAGCUCUCCCUCCUCAGUGACCUCAGGCUUGGAACCAAGUUUCUGUUUUUUCUAUGAUACUGAUGGGUUUUGAGGAGAUUUUUUUUGUAUCUCAUUGGUAUAUCCUGAUCAUUUAUUCAUUUAUACUGCUGAUUCAUGUGUUUUUCCUCUUUCCCUUUUCAAUGCACCCUCCUCCACGUGCUGUGCAGGCAAAGGGAACGAUGAUGAGUGCUGUGGUGUUCCAAGGGUCAGGGUUUGUUCUCCAGCUGGAUGAACAGGUACCUCCCUUCCAGCACCUGGGCAGGUUUGGGCUGGCUUUUCUCUGAGCUCAGGGUGGGAUCUGCUGCUCCUGUGUGCUCUGGGGUGACAGGAGAUGGAUGGGAGCUCUGCAUGAAGGCAAAAGUCCACCCAUUUCUUGUAGUCCUGUCUCCAGGAGAGCACUGAGGCCACAGCUGUCCAAACUGCGCCAGGGAAUGCCAGUCUCCGAGGCUCUGAUGAGCUCUGACUUCUUUAUGCCUCUGAUUUUUUUCCCCUUGUCUCUCCUGAUUGACAUUUGUCUGUUCUGGGCCGUGUUUGCUUGCACUGCACUUGUGGGGAGCCCGGAGCAGUGCAGUAUUUUCAUGUCAGCCGGGUUAAGGGUGAGGAACAUUACACAUGCACACUGAUUUAUGCCUCAGAGGCUGCAAAUCGUGUCAAGUGUGAUCUCAGCACAGCUCUGCUCCAUGACUCAAGUGCCUGGUGCAAUGUUACACUCGCAGACAUCAAUCCUCAGCCAGGCAAGGGAGAGCUCCUCCAGAGCAUCCAUAAAGUCCUGGGCUGGGAGAGUUAUUAGUUAUUCAUGAGGCAAUAAUGGUGUUUGCAAUGUUCAUGCCAAAGCCAGAAUCCCAUAACCACUGAGGCUGGAAAAGAUGUCCAAGCUGGGCCUGAUCCCCACAGAGCUCUGAGUGCCACCUCCAGCCCUUCCUGGGACA